UUACAAUGAAUUUCUUUAAUACUAUCAUCUUAUCAUCUUACAGCCUUUUAAAUCAAUGUCUUCAAUAUUUAUUACAAUUAAAAAAAAAUUAUAAAACCUUUUAAAAUACUCUAAUUCAAAUGUAACAAGUAUAAAUUCAAUCUUAAAAGUCUUCGAUUUUGAGUCUUCAAUUUUAUUGAUUUAUCCCGUUUUCACAAUUUGACCAAAC
rnacentral:lncRNA from 1 species